UUGAUGAUGAAGAAUUUUUGAUCUUAAAUAAAUAUCACAUGAUUGUACAAAGUUUUUAACUCCCUUUCAUAUUUAAAGCCACCAAUUUUUUCAUUAUAAGCUCCAAAUUCUUAUUGUAUGCAAAAUAUUACAUUGUUGGAAAGACAUGACAAACUUCAAGAAUACAUAAUUAUGCUUUGCCUUUUAGAAUAUGUAAUUGUUCCUCAAAAUAGAGUAGAUUAUUUUUCAAUUUAAACUUAAAAGUAUCAUCAGAUUUAAAAGAAUUAUUCUUGAUAUCAUAAAUAAAAGCAUCAGAGGUUAUACUUGAUUUAAUUUGCUUAACAAAGAUUGAAUUAACAAUCAAUGUUGAUUUAUUACUCAAAGAUGAAAAUAUUUUGGUUUCAAAAACAUUAUUC
rnacentral:lncRNA from 1 species